rnacentral:tRNA from 1 species
GCGCCGAUAGUUCAGUGGCAGAAUAGCGGCCUUCCAAGCCGUUGACCUGGGUUCAAAUCCCAGUCGGCGCA